rnacentral:lncRNA from 1 species
CCCCUCACUCUGCUCUGAUGCUCACAGCCCUUUGGAGUAUGUCUCCAUGUCCUUGUUUCUUGCAUGUUCAGCAGGCACAGGCCAACUGAGUUUUCUCAGAUCACUGUAAAGACCAGAUGAUGCCUGGCUACCUCAAAUUCCCAGCACAAUCCAGUUUCAAAUCCUAGGGAUACCAAAGUUCUAACAAAUGUUUCGAGCCUAGAAUUGUGGCUCAGCGAGAGCACACCAAAGAAAAAGUGUUUGGUAGGCUCAGCCCUAAGGAAGCCCAUAAGUUGGAGAGAAAAUGGCAGAGAAAAGAGUUAGCAAACUUCCGGCUGGGGAUUUAGCUCAGUGGUAGAGCGCUUACCUAGGAAGCGCAAGGCCCUGGGUUCGGUCCCCAGCUCCAAAAAAAAAAAAAAAAGAACCAAAAAAAAAAAAAAAAA